GCUCUCGGCUCGACCUUCCCGCUCGCGAACGGCGUCCAUGUCAUCCUACCUCUCCCGCUCAGCCCAAACUCUCUUGCUCGCCACCGCCUCCGCCUUGCUUGCCAGUCCUCCCCCGGCGGUGCUGUUUGUCUCGUCCUAUGCACGAUGUGCGGCUGUUGGUGCGCGUGCCGCUUCCGUGUUCGGGAGCGCGGACGAGGUGUUCGACGGAAUGCUCCUGCGGGUCGGGACUACAGCUGGCCUCGUAGCCUUGCAGGUAAGGCUUGCUCUGUUCCUCUGUUCAUUAUUGCAAAUUACAAUGGCGUCUGAGAUCGAUUAAUACAAGGACUAGCAGACAUCGGUGCUUGCCCAACUUCACUGUCAGAAUAACUGAAGGUAGGUGGGUGACAGAGAAAGAGAACGGCUAGCAAUCAAUAGAAUUAAGUGGCCCAAGAAAUUCAUUGGUACUAUGUCCUUUCUACGACUUGUCUGAUCUAAUGAUUCGUGUUUUCCACACACAGCUGUCUCUUUACGAUCGAGUACACUGAUAGAACUACAGUGAUGAUACUAGUCAGCUACUUCUUCCUUCUUUAUUUCGUAUAUCAGUUUUGUCUUACGUCAAACAUUUUAAAGUUUAACUCGGUGCUAAAUAUAUAGACCUGCCUUGCGGGCAGCGUUUUUAGCUUCCAACAACAACAAUAUGCUCUUGGAUGAUAGUAAAAUCAUGAUUAGAAUUUAGAAGUAGUACCAGAAACAUACAGCGGGGGCAUAUUUUUUGAACAACGAUUGGGCAGCCAUAUGGUCGUUGCCCAAGGGCGGCCUUCCGACCUCACUACCAAAAUUAUAUUUUCGUGCUUGUCACAACUACGAGGAGUUAAAAUGUUAAGGCCCGCAAGUAAACAGGAACCAUUCUAAUAAUCGGAUCAUACUCCUAUUAAGUGAAGGUAGGUGUGUAUGAGAGAGAAUAGGGAGGUUAGCAAUCAAUAGAAUAGAGUGGCCCAAGACACUAUUUAUGUCCUCUACAAAUUGUCCCAUCCAAUAAUUCAUAUUUUCCACCGACAAUUGCCUGCCUCUUUAUGAUCGUCCACGAUCACUAGAGCAUCUUUAGUCCUUCCUCUAAAAAUUUGUAACUCUGUAAAUACUGUUUUAUAGGAGUUAAAGAUCAUCUAACCCUUCUCCUAAAAUAUUUACGGAGUUAAGAGCAUGCAACCCUUCCCCUAAUAUUUGAGGCCGAGGAUGCCGAGUGGGAGGAUGAGUAGAUGGAGGUGGAUCGUCGAGGAGUCCCAUCACCUCGCCAUGCGCCGACGCCACGGCGAGGGCCACCUACACGACGAAGGUGAAGGAGGCCGAUGAGUUAUACUCUUAUAGCCUUUUAUUGAGAUUAUUUUUUCGAGAAAACGCAAAUGGCCUUUGCGUUUCAUUGCAUUGGAAAGAUAGGGAAUUUACAUCCCCCUAGGAGGCAGAUUUACACAGUUGUCGGAUGAUCAGUGGACAUACCAUGAUGAUGGCAAAACGACCCUAAGCCCUUGAGAUUAUUUGAGGCCAGGUAUAUAGGGCCUAAUAGUUAUUUUGAGGUUUACUUUAACCAUCAAUAAGAUUAAUAAUAUAUGCAUGUAAGCAAGCUUAUAGCCUCUUAUUUUACUCUUAUUAUAGCCCGCUUAAAUCAUUUUACUGCGUUUGCUCUUCCUUCCUUGCCGCUAUAGGGUGGGUGGUGACUAUCAAUUGGGUGGGCCAAUUUGUCCCAACCAACGAUUCAUGUUUUCACAAGAGAGUGAAAACUCCACCGAUCACACGGCCUCUAUGUAAAAGCAAUGUCUGGCCAGGAUCAUGUACAUCUGCAGACCACUGAUGAGUGAUGAGAUCAGAUGACUCGUCACAGUCGCGCCACCGCGUGCUUAGUAGGAAAGACAAUUAUUGCUUAGCUCGUCCCUAGCCAUUGGUUUGGGUUGGGUUAACUUUGAAGUAGAUCUACCAUUGCUUCAGUUGAUUGGGCUGGAUAGAGUUAACUCGAGGUCCCUGCCCAGGGUCUAUAUAAAUCCCAUCUCCCAUAUCUCCCCUGCGCCUACACACAUUUCAUCCCUCUCUACUCCAAUACUCCGGCCAUGUCUCUGCACAUCCACCAGCUCUGCAUCUGCUAGCAAAAAAAGUAAGCUCCACAAAAGAAGAGAAAACGACCACUCUGCAUUCCUCCGUCGAAGCUCGUCGCCUUGGUGGCAGGAGGUGACUUAUUAACUGCAUCUGCAUCACCAUGGACUUCGCCGUGGACGCGGCGCUGUGGGUGGUUGGCAAAGCGCUGGCACCCGUCACGGACGGCCUGCUGGAGUCAUGUGCGGCCAGCACCGAGCUUGGCCGCAACAUCGACGCCCUCAAGAUGCAACUCCUCUACGCACAAGGGAUGCUCGACAACGCGCAGGGUAGGGACAUCCGCAGCCCUGCGCUCAAGGAGCUUCUGCACAAGCUGCGGGAGCUGGCGUACUGUGCCGACGACGCGCUCGAUGAGCUCGACUACUUCCGCAUCCAGGACGCACUUGACGGCACAUACCAUGCCGCCAAUUUGGAUUCCCAGAGCUGCGUUGACAGGAUCGCCAUCAAUGCUCACCACACCGCCAAGGCUGCGGCCAAUAAUCUCAAGUGCUCAUCAUCCUCUACCCGGGCUGAUCCCGACGAUCAGGAAGAUGGUGGCAAACGAGGAUGCCUCUCUGUCGUUGGCUCGUGUGGGGAGCAUGAGAUCAGCUCCUCACGACCGCCACCCACCACCCAGGGAGUCCAGGAGGUUGAUGGCGGAUGCAUGCCUAAUGUCGUCUCUUGUGCUCGCACCGCUGCACAAACUAUCGGUAAACACUUUCCGUGCUACUCUUUCCCGUCUGUCUGCGAUGAUGAUGCGGACACCGUCAUGGUGAAAUCCUCCAAUAUGACAGGGAGUGGACAUCAAUAUGUGCUACAAGGAGAUCACGCCAUGCAAACACGAAAACUGAAGUUUGAUCGGGUCGUAAUUUCUACAAAAAUACUGGAAAUAAUAGAGCAGUUGAAACUUCUGUGUGCUAUGGUCUCCACCAUUCUCAAUCUAGAACUACUUGGCUCCACACGUAUCCCCCCUGCCCAAGACAUUACUAUGAACCGACCCAAAACCACCCCAAAUAUUAUAGAGCCUGAGUUGUAUGGGAGGAAUGACCAGAAAAAGGAAAUCAUUGAUGACAUUACAAAUGGUAAAUAUUGUACCAAUGAACUUACCGUAGUUCCACUUGUUGGUCCAGGAGGUAUUGGGAAGACAACACUCACGCAACACAUAUUUGCAGAACUGGAGGGUUCUUUCCAAGUUUCAGUUUGGAUAUGUGUAUCUCUAGAUUUUAAUGCAGAUAGGUUGACGCAAGAGAUUGUGAAAAAGAUCCCUGAAGUGAAUGAUGAAAAGGCUAAUGCUACCAAUCAACAGCUAAUUGUACAAAGAUUAAAAUCUAAGCGGCUUUUACUUGUUUUAGAUGAUGUGUGGACAUACCACGAGGAUGAGUGGAAAAAAUUAUUAGCUCCAUUAAGUCAUACGGGGGGAGAAAAGGGUAAUGUGGUUAUAGUCACUACACGGAUUCCAAAGGUAGCAAGUAUGGUCACCACAACUAACUCUUCAAUUGACGUCGGACGUCUAAGUCAUGAGGAUACUAGGUCUUUCUUCGAAGUAUGUGUAUUUGGUGACCAACGACCAUGGGAAGACCAUUCUGAAUUACGUGAUGUUGGGAAUAGAAUAGUAACAAAAUUGAAGGGUUUCCCUCUUGCAGCAAAAACAGUAGGUAGAUUGCUAAGAAACCAACUUACUUUGGACCACUGGAUAAGAGUUGCAGAAAGUAGAGAAUGGGAAUUACAGACCAAUGACAAUGACAUUAUGCCAGCUCUAAAGCUUAGUUAUGAUUAUCUCCCUUUUCAUCUACAACAAUGUUUUUUCUAUUGUGGGCUGUUUCCAGAAGAUUAUGAAUUUAGUGCCAAAGAGUUGGUUCACUUUUGGACAGGAUUAGGCAUUUUACGACCACUUGAUCAGGCAAAAAGAACUGAAGAUAUUGCACUAAGCUAUUUAAACGACUUGGUAAAUCAUGGUUUUUUUUAAAAUAAUAAAAAAGAAAAUGGUCCUCAUUAUGUUAUCCAUGACCUACUGCAUGACUUGGCGGUGACGGUUUCGUCAUAUGAAUGUCUUAGCAUAUAUAGCCUUAACUUGCGAACCAUACACAUUCCUGCAUCCGUGCGUCACUUGUCCAUCAUCGUAGAUAAUACUGAUGUCGAAGAUAUAACCACUUUUAAAGAAUACAACAGUUAUUUGAGUGCAGUAGUUAAAAGAUUGAAAGCUCAGAACUUACGCACUUUGAUGUUGUUUGGUGAAUACCAUGGAAGCUUUGCCAAAACUUUUAGGGUUUUGUUUAAAAAAGCUAGAGCCUUACACACUAUUUUUUUUCUGGAUUAUCAUAUUCUGUGGAUGAUGUGUUGCCGGACUUUUCAGAACUUCUACAUCUCCGCUACCUAAGGAUCAAAUCAGUGCAUAAUGAGGACAUAAGCUUGCCUAGUGUGUUGUUUAGGUCCUAUCACUUGGAGGUCAUUGGUUUAGAAAAUUGGGGUGGCCGCUUUGCUUCAACAAGUCAAAUGAGCAACCUGGUAAAACUGCGUCAUUUUGUUGUGCCCGAAGAUAAUCUUGAACUUCACUCUAGCAUAUUCGAGGUUGGGAAACUAAAAUUCCUAGAGGAAGUAAGAAGAUUUGAAGUGGGAAAAGAAACUAAGGGUUUUGAAUUAAGUCAACUAGGAGAACUGACAGGGCUGGGAGGAUCACUUGGCAUUUAUAAUCCUGAAAAGGUACAGAAAAAGGACGAGGCAAAUGAACUAAAACUAAUACACAAAAAACACUUACACAAGCUAAUACUAGAAUGGUCUUUUGAUAGACCUAACAAGGAGGCAGAACAAGAAGAAAAGGUCAUCGAAAGUCUUGUCCCACAUAGUAAUCUUCAAGACCUAUGCAUUAGAGGGCAUGGAGGUGCUAAUUGCCCAUCAUGGCUGGGCAGGUACCUCUCGGUUGAAAAUUUAGAAUCGCUUUCUCUGUGCAAUGUAUCUUGGAGCACGCUUCCCCCUCUUGGGGAGUUGAGGUUUAUUGAUGACUGUGGUGAAGAGUGUAAGGGUUUUGUCUUAAGCCAACGUUUCCAAAUUUUGAGAAGGCUAGAAUUAGUUGGGAUACCAGGACUAGCAAGAUGGAUUGGAAAUGGCAAAUGUCAUUUGUUCUCUGUUCUAGAGGUGGUCAUCAUUGAAGAUUGUCCUGAACUGGUGGAGUUGCCAUUUUCCCACCCUAGUUGCCAUCAAGCGAAGCAAGAGGAGAACAUGACUUGGUUUCCGAAACUAAUGAAGCUCAAGAUUAUACGCUGCCCCCAAUUGGCGUCAUUGCCUCCAAUUCCUUGGACCGAAGCGCCAUGCUCAGUUGAGAUAGAACAAGCAGGAUCAGUAUUUGAGAAGCUAGUGUACUCCAAGAACUACAAAUCGGAAUUGAGUUUGCAAGUUAAGGGAAAAGAUGGUCAGCAUGGCGUGUUGUGGAACGGGUUGGCUUUCCAUAAUCUAGCUGAUCUGAAAGAGCUGCGGGUGGAGAAGUGCCCUCCCCUGCCACUGAUUCACCUCCAAAAGCUAAAAUCUCUCAAGUCCCUCAAGAUGACCGGUAUGAGCAACUCGUUGCUGCUGUUUGAAGGUGAAAGAUAUAAUACUGAAUGCCCGCUUUCAGUUGAAGAAAUAGAGAUCGAGCACUGUGGUGCUGAUGGAAGGAACUGACACAACUGUUAUCUCAUUUCCCGAAGCUCACUAAGUUGGAAGUGAGUAGUUGUGAGAAGAUAACAGAGAUUGGCAUGGCGGAGCUUCAGAUGGGAAUGACGACACCAUCAUAUUUAAGUAAUGACAUUGAAAUUGAGCAUGCAAAAGCAGGGCACCAUCAGACAAGACGGGAGGAGGUAGAAGAUGCAGCAGCAGGAGGAGGUCUACUGCUCCUGCCUCGGCAACUACAGGAGUUGGUCAUCUCUGGUUGCAGAGAGCUGCGGUUACUCUCCGAUUCACUUGUCAAGGACAGCACACACGGAGGAGGGCUCCAGAGUCUUUGCUCCCUCCAAUCGUUGCGCAUAUAUGAUUGCCCCAGGUUCCUCUCGUCCUAUUCAUCCUCCGCCGCAUCUUGUUUCCCCUUCCCGACCUCCCUGCAACAACUCAUGCUGGAGGGCGUGGAGAGCAUGGAGACGCUGGCUCCCCUCUCAAAUCUCAUCUCUCUCACCGCUUUAUUCGUGCGUAAUUGUGGGGAUCUAAGAGGCGAGGGCUUAUGGCCUCUCGUCGCCCAGGGCCGACUCACAGGAUUACUCGUCACUGAAACCCCCCAAUUCUUCACUGGUUCUGAGCCCUCACGGCCACAUGACCAAGAGAUUCCUUUCUCUUCAUCCAAACUCCAACAUCUCUGGACAGAUGACUUGGCAGGAGUCCUUACCGCGCCCAUAUGCACACUCCUCUCUUCCUCCCUCACCAAAUUAAUUUUGUAUGCCAACAAAGAGGUGGAGCGCUUCACAGAGAAGCAAGAGGAGGCCCUUCACCUCCUCAAUUCCCUCCAGGAACUCAACUUUUGGAAGUGUUGGAAGCUGCAGCGCCUCCCUGCAGGGCUAACCAAGCUUGCCAGCCUCAAGAUAUUACACAUUUGGGGGUGUCCAGCCAUCCAAUUGCUGUCCAAGGACGGACUACCAAGCUCUCUGCAAGAAUUAGAGAUCAGAGACUGUCCUGCCAUCAAAUCUCUGCCCAAGGACGGCCUGCCAAGUUCACUGCGGAAAUUACAAGUUUCUAAUGGCAUCAGCAAGGAGCUUAAAAAGCAGUGCCGCAAGUUAAAAGGAACCAUUCCAAUAAUCAUAGACUACAACAACGACGACUACUAACCCAAGGGAUCUUCUUUGAUUUGUACAUUCUUCUAGCCUAGCCUUGUAGAUCCAGUUCUUUCUGCAUCCAAACACAGUUCAAAGAGUAUACUUCUCUGUACAACUAAUCCAAGAGGUCUUCUUGGACUUGUAUAUUCUUCUAGCCUAGCCUUGUUUGUUGUUCCAGUUCUCUCUCUAUCCAAGAACAGAAGGUUCCAGAUUAUAGCACCCAUCCAUUACUAAACUGGCCUCUGCCAUGGAGUUGUAAAAGUUCUUCUAUCCUUAAAGUUUUUGCAUACACGUACAGUUCGGACGCCAUGGCCCUGGGUGGUAUCACCUACAUAAAUAUGGGAUCUGUCUUGGAGUUGUUCAUUCUUAUGGACUUGGAGAAUUCUCUUGUUCUUGUCACAAAAACAGAAAAAAAAAACAGGAAAGGGAAAAGAGGCAAAAAAAAUAAAAAAAAUGAGAAGAAAAAAAAAGAAAAAAAGAAAAAGGAAAAGAAGGGAAAAAGAAAGAAAUAAAAAAUAAAUAAAAAAAGAGAGAGUAAAGCUCUCCAUCUGGUCACUAUUCGCACAUGUUCGUGACUUCUUGAUAGGUGUUUGUCCAGUUGUUUUAUGUUCUUUCAGUAAAAAGUUAGAAAUAUUAAUUGUGUAGGUUGAUUGCCUGAUAUUUGUGUUACAUAUUUGGAAAUCAAUAUGGCAGAAGUAGCUCCCAGCAAAAGGAUAAAGGAAACAAAAAAUUGUAAGGGAAAGAAUACAAAUCCAUUAUAUGGGUUUUGUGUGGUAUCUUUAUGAAAGAUGGUUGUAUGAUUCUUUUAUGCUUUUUAGGAAUUGGGAGAAAUAUUAACUGACUAGAAUUAGUUGCCUAAUAGUUGUAUCACUAAUUUAGAGAGGGAGGAGUACAGGAGCAGGUCUGAAUAGUGAAGGUAUAGCUCCCCUUUGUGCUGGAUUAAAAAAAUAUAGAGUGGGCGAAAUACAGGAGCAUGUCCGAAGACUGAAGGUAUAGCUCCGGUUUGUGAUGCAUUAUUGAAGUAUGCACCCUGCACUAUGGUAUAGUGAGGUUAAUACAGAUCAAUCUCCUAGGAAGAGAAGUAGGGGCCCAAGCUUUGUUUGGUUCAAGCAGUUUUUUGCCGCUGCACCAGCCACACAAAAAUGCACUCCGUAGAUGCAGGGUCAUUGUUCCAAGCAUUUCUGUUCUAAUGCCAGAAUUAUUCUUGAUCUGUAAGCUGCAGUGAACCAAACUCUUCUUCACCUUAGACUAGUUGACUCAUCAACCAGUAACUGCUGUGAUGGAUAUCCAAUCUGUCCAAUCCCGUUCACGUUCACACGAUGUAACAUGGAGGGUACUGGCAAAAUGAUCAGCAUUUUCUUCAGAAAGGAAAAUGAUGGCCAUCUGACACACAAAAAGGGCAAAAGGAAAAAAAAGGAAAAGAAAAGGAAAAAAAAGGAAGAAUAAAUUAUGGAAGAAAACUCUCCAUCGACCCACUGUUUGCACACUGGAUAGAGAAGUGCAGAAGUCGAAGAGGAUUGGCGACGGCCCCCUUCCUCCUCCACCAAACCCCAGACCGAUUCACCAUGUCAUGAUGGUGUCGGGAGGCGACGGUGAUGAGUGAUGGUGGCGGCGGAGGGCAUGUGAUUGAUAGCAAUGAUGCUGGUUACUUCUCAUGGAGGACGCGGCAGGGGCUGUGGAGGAGCAUAAUGACAUCCCUAGUUUGAUUGGAGCAUUCUCUCUGUUUGGUAUGCCAUACCUGAAGAAGUUGCUGCUGAUGCAACUUGUAUCUCCUAUCCUUUCUAGACUGAGGCCUCUGCCAACUUGUAAACUCUUCAAUACUUGAAGAACUCCCGGCAUUCACCCACUGUUUGGACGCCAUGGCCUUGGGCGGUAUCUCCUCCCUGUACAUAAAUACGGGAUCUGUAUUGGAGUUGUACACUAUCAUAGCCCGGGAGAACUAUCUCCAUUCUUCUUACAAAAAAAAGGGGGAAAUGUGAAAAGAAAGAAAGAAAGAAAGAAAGAAAGAAAGGAAAGGGGAAAAAGAGAAAAAAAUGUGAAAAAGAGAAAGAAAGAACAAUAAAAAGGAAAAGGAAAAAAGAACAAAAAAUG